GAUGAACGCUGGCGGCGUGCUUAACACAUGCAAGUCGAACGGAAAGGCCCAAGCUUGCUUGGGUACUCGAGUGGCGAACGGGUGAGUAACACGUGGGUGAUCUGCCCUGCACUUCGGGAUAAGCCUGGGAAACUGGGUCUAAUACCGGAUAGGACCACUUCUUGGGUGUUGUGGUGGAAAGUUUUUUCGGUGUGGGAUGAGCUCGCGGCCUAUCAGCUUGUUGGUGGGGUAAUGGCCUACCAAGGCGUCGACGGGUAGCCGGCCUGAGAGGGUGUACGGCCACAUUGGGACUGAGAUACGGCCCAGACUCCUACGGGAGGCAGCAGUGGGGAAUAUUGCACAAUGGGCGCAAGCCUGAUGCAGCGACGCCGCGUGGGGGAUGACGGCCUUCGGGUUGUAAACUCCUUUCGCUAGGGACGAAGCGUUUUGUGACGGUACCUGGAGAAGAAGCACCGGCUAACUACGUG
rnacentral:rRNA from 1 species